rnacentral:misc_RNA from 1 species
GAUGAAGAACGCAGCAAAAUGCGAUACUUGGUGUGAAUUGCAGAAUCCCGUGAACCAUCGAGUUUUUGGACGCAAGUUGCGCCCGAAGCCUUUUGGCCGAGGGCACGUCUGCCUGGGCGUCACGCAUCGCGUCGCCCCCCACAAUUCUCCGUAAAGGGAACAUGUGUUUUGGGGGCGGAUAUUGGUCUCCCGUGCUCAUGGCGUGGUUGGCCGAAAUAGGAGUCCUUUCGAUGGACGCACGAACUAGUGGUGGUCGUAAAAACCCUCGUCUUUUGUUUCGUGCUGUUGCUCGCAAGGUAAACUCUUUAAAAACCCCAAUGUGUCGUCUCUUGACGACGCUUCGACCGCGACCCCAGGUCAGGCGGGACUACCCGCUGAGUUUAAGCAUAUCAAUAAGCGGAGGA